rnacentral:rRNA from 1 species
GGUUGGGCUGUUCGCCCAUUAAAGCGGUACGCGAGCUGGGUUUAGAACGUCGUGAGACAGUUCGGUCCCUAUCCGCCACGCGCGCAGGAGUCUUGAGGAAACCUGUCCCUAGUACGAGAGGACCGGGAUGGACGAACCUCUGCUGUGCCAGUUGUCCUGCCAAGGGCACGGCUGGUUAGCUACGUUCGGAAGGGAUAACCGCCGAAAGCAUCUAAGCGGGAAGCCCGUUCCAAGAUAAGGACUCCCACAGGGUUAACCUGGUAAGGACCCCAGUAGAUGACUGGGUUGAUAGGCCGGAAGUGGAAGUGCAGUAAUGCAUGCAGCUGACCGGUACUAAUAGUCCGAGGACUUGCCUCACAUU